rnacentral:lncRNA from 1 species
CAAUAGUGCUGAGAUUGUGAAACUCUGCUACAGUGGUGGUAGAGGUGUGGGCAGAAUAUCAGGAAAUGCUUCCCACAAGAAUUGAUGUGCAUGAGGAAUCCUGGAGAAUAAGAAGGCAUGAAGUAGAGAUGAAAGAGAAUGUUUCACACAAAGGAAACAUGUGCAAGCAUCAAACUCAACUCUAUGCCUACAGUUCUGGGGCAGAAGAACUGCCAAGGGAGAAAUUAUGCAUUGCCUGCCCCCAGUUCCCUCAGGAUACAUUACAUUAAGGAAGAAAUCAUUCUCAAAAUAUGGAAGCCACAGCACAUUCCCAUUCUUGACUAGAAUAUUCAGCUUGCCAUUUACCAUUCCAUUCUGGGGGGCAAAAGUUCUUUCUCU